rnacentral:rRNA from 1 species
GAUGAACGCUAGCGGCAGGCUUAAUACAUGCAAGUCGAGGGGCAGCAUGAUUGUAGCAAUACAAUUGAUGGCGACCGGCAAACGGGUGCGGAACACGUACACAACCUUCCAAUAAGUGGGGAAUAGCCCAGAGAAAUUUGGAUUAAUACCCCGUAACAUAACGAUGUGGCAUCACAUUGUUAUUAUAGAUUUUUCGCUUAUUGAUGGGUGUGCGGCUGAUUAGAUAGUUGGCGGGGUAACGGCCAACCAAGUCUACGAUCAGUAGCUGAUGUGAGAGCAUGAUCAGCCACACGGGCACUGAGACACGGGCCCGACUCCUACGGGAGGCAGCAGUAAGGAAUAUUGGACAAUGGACGCAAGUCUGAUCCAGCCAUGCCGCGUGAAGGAUUAAGGUCCUCUGGAUUGUAAACUUCUUUUAUAAGGGACGAAAAAAGGCUUUUCUAAGUCGUCUGACGGUACCUUAUGAAUAAGCACCGGCUAACUUCGUGCCAGCCGCCGCGGUAAUAC